AGUGAACGCUGGCGGUAGGCCUAACACAUGCAAGUCGAACGGCAGCACAGGAGAGCUUGCUCUCUGGGUGGCGAGUGGCGGACGGGUGAGGAAUACAUCGGAAUCUACUCUUUCGUGGGGGAUAACGUAGGGAAACUUACGCUAAUACCGCAUACGACCUUCGGGUGAAAGCAGGGGACCUUCGGGCCUUGCGCGAUUGAAUGAGCCGAUGUCGGAUUAGCUAGUUGGCGGGGUAAAGGCCCACCAAGGCGACGAUCCGUAGCUGGUCUGAGAGGAGGAUCAGCCACACUGGAACUGAGACACGGUCCAGACUCCUACGGGAGGCAGCAGUGGGGAAUAUUGGACAAUGGGCGCAAGCCUGAUCCAGCCAUACCGCGUGGGUGAAAAAGUCCUUCGGGUUGUAAAGCCCUUUUGUUGGGAAAGAAAAGCACUUGGUUAAUACCCUUGUGUUCUGACGGUACCCAAAGAAUAAGCACCGGCUAACUUCGUGCCAGCCGCCGCCGUAAUAC
rnacentral:rRNA from 1 species